UGAAUCGAGCAUAAUAUUGCUCGAUUUAAUAUCCCUGUGCAGCACACAUUGUUCCCAUUCUUCGUGUAGAUAGAACAACCCGGAUGCCAAGCCUUGAGCAAUUCUGUAUCUUGCCUCCCAAUGUAACAAGGUUUUCGGUUUGAACAAAUGGGAAUCUAAGCUUCCGUUGGACAUGAACUCGUAAACAAGCAGGAGCUCUCCUUUUUCAUGGCACCAACCGAUUAGUUGCACCAGAUUCCGAUGCCUAAGUCGACUGAUGAUCCUUACUUCCGCCGCGUACUCCUUCAUCCCCUGUCUAGACCGACUUGACACCCUCUUAACAGCAACAUACGAGUCCAAGUCUUUUAUGAACCCUCUAUAAACCCCACCAAAUCCUCCUUCUCCAAGCUUUUCUCCCUCAUCGAAAUUACCCGUGGAUCGAGCCAAUUUCUUGUACGAAAACUUCUUCGGGCCCGUCCCCUUCUCGAAUUCCUCAUCGAUCGAGUCGUUCACCGUAGGAUCCUCAUCAUCACUACUUCCCCCUGUUUUUCCCUUCCUCCAACAAAUGCACCAAACCAAAACCAACCCACCAGCCAAAACCACACACCCACCAACAACCAGCCCAACAAGCAGUCCGACAUUGACCCCGUUUUCUGGCGCCGAGUUGUUAAACUCGUUCUCAUCGCGCAGUUCUGUAGAACUAAAAUUCCAUGAGUUGAUUUUAUGUAGAGCUGUAAGAGUCCCUGUCGCGGCAGUGAACCCAACAACAACAUAACCCUGCAAGUACUCAUUCAGGUCUACAAUGUAACUAAUAUUCCUCCACACUAGGGAAGCAUUCUCAAAACUAGUGUAAACAACACUAAGAUUUUUGGAUCCAGAAUCGUAGCGAAUCCGAGCAGUAUUUUCCCCUCCGGUUGUAAUGGAUCCAUUCCAAGGCUUUGUAACUUUAGACUUGAGAGAGUUCAUGUCAAUACCAACAUGACCGCCGUCAGGAUCUUUGAUGGAAAUUCGGUUAUUCUUGUAGAUAUCAAACUCCACUGCCACAAAGGGGUACAGAUUCGUCGAUUCAUUAUUUGGCAGCUCUAUGACGGGGAGGCCUAGAUAGCCGCCUAGGCCUACUGUGGUGUUGAGUGAGGACCCGUUUGGCGCCAAAAAGAAGGCGAGUCCGUCGCCGUAGGGCGUUUUGUCUAAGGAGUCGAUGGCGAAUGUGAAGUUUGUGGUGAAAUCAGCGAGUUUUCCGGUGGCGUUCUCGCGGAGGAGGAAGGGUUGAGAACAGGUGGCUCGGCCGACACUUUUGUUCCGUUGGAUGUCGGCAGCGCUAUUAGUCAGACGGAGGAACGUGCCGUCGACGGAAGCAUCUCCCUCGAGAGAUAAAUUGCGGGGGACUUUUGGGAAGGAGGAGAAGUUGAAGGAUAAUGGAGCUGCACAAGGAAGUAGCUGAAACAAGAGAAGUUUGAGAAGAAGGACAACCACCAUGUUUGUAAUGCUUUUACAGAUUAAACUGUUAUCAUCUUAAAAUAUAGCAGAGAUUGUAGAGUUUAAUUAUUAUUAUUUUAAUUUUUUUUAGGGAUUUUAUCUGCAGCCGCCUUUGUUUACCUGAAAAUGAGCAGUUGACUUGCUCUGUAGCUGAAGUUUUCUUUUGCUAAAAUAUCAUUGGUUAUUAUAAUCUCCCGAUCACACUGAAACUUUGUUUUUCGAAAUAACGCAGCUUGACUGACUUGCUCUAAUCUAAUCAGCAGCCCCAUUUAUCGAGUUGGGUUUUUCUUUUGCUGAAAUGUCAUUGGUCAUGUCCAUCGAUCCAAUUCAAAAGUUUAAUUAAUACAUCUACGGCAUAUUUUUAUUUAUUUGGGAAACUCGAUGGUUGGAGGUAAACUUUAUUAUUUUUGAAAAAAAUUAAGUACUAUGCGGUUGGGGUUAAAAAAUCUUGUACAAAGAUGUUGUAAGUCUCUAACCAAGGGAAGCUACCAUCAUUAGAUAAACCGCACUCUGCAAUCCAACAAGCAACAUUGGCUAGUAGACUGGCGCUUAGGGGCAGUUUAAUAAUUAUUUUGUUUUUAACUUUUAGUUUCGUUGGUUUUUUAAUUGAAAACUAUUAAAUAAAUUAUCAAUAAAGUAGAGCCGAAAACAGUUUACGAAAAAUUGAACUGUCAUGGAUUAAAAUUGCCCAAGAUUUUUGUUGCGUGGUUGAAGAAUAGACGAUGGUGGAAAAUUUGCGCUCAUUCCACUCAGGACUGUUUCUGAGAUUUUGGAGGUUCUGUGUGAAAUUCAUAAAAGGGGCUCUUCUUAUACGACAUCUUAAAAAAAAAUUGAACAACGUAUUGAUGUUAAAAAACAAUAUCGAAAUAGCUCAUUUUUUAGGCUGAAUCAAUUGUUUAACUUUUCUUUUUCUUUGACGCUUCAAGUAGCUAGAUGUAUAUUUUCUAGUAAGUGCUAUCUUUUAUAACUCAAACAAGAUCACAAUAAAAUUAUAGUAAGUAUGAACGAUAAAACAUGAUAAUCCGUAAUACGUGUGCGUCUAACGAUUUUUUGUGACUGCUCUUCUCUUGAUUUUGCCCUGAAAAGUACCCAAAAAAAAACAUUAUAGACGAAAAAUAGCCAAAUCUUCAAGUCAAUAUACUUAAAUUAGUAAAUAUCAUGCUUUGAUUGAAGUCUCCUUCAUUUUGAUAAUUUGGAAGUUUCUCUUUAAUUUCAUAAAUUUAUAAAUUAAGGUUUAAUAAUUGUGGGAAAUCUAACAAUGGGACGAAGAGAGAAGGGAAUUACACUGGGAAUCUAGGACAUUGGCACAACGUGUUACAUCCCAGACCGGGACAUAUCACUUCCCCGGCCCGUUUCACCACCGUAGCACGAUAUUGUCUGCUUUGGGCCCCGACCAAGCCCUCAUGGUUAUUGUUUCUGGGAAUUCACGAGCAACUUCUCAGUGGGUCAUCCAUCCUGGGAGUGCUCUGGCCUCCUUCUCGCUUAACUUCAGAGUUCCUAUUGAACCCGAAGUCAGUUAGCUCCUGAAAUGCCUCGUGCUAGGUAGGGAUGAGAAUAUACAUUUGAAGAUCAUUCCCCGGAUGAUUUGGGAUGUCACACAACGUCUAUGAUUCCGGUGCUUUUGUACUGGUAGUCUGCUAUGAAAAGAAGAAAGUGGAACAUAGUGAUGGGAUUUUGGCGUGAGAGGAAUACUGUCUUUGAAUUGUUUGCCUCGAUCAGUGGGCUUCUCUGAUUAACUUUGCCCUUUGUUAAUUAUUUUUUUAUAUAUUUUCGUACAAGUUGUAGGUAGUCUGAUGGGUGAUGGCUUUUAGGUACUUGGUCAGUGGGCUUCUCUGAUUAACUUUGCCCUUUGUUAAUUAUUUUUUUAUAUAUUUUCGUACAAGUUGUAGGUAGUCUGAUGGGUGAUGGCUUUUAGGUACUAGUAAUCUGACUUUGAUGGGUAGUAGUCUGAUGGCUUUUGGCCCAUCAAAUUUUUUUAUGCAUAUAUUUUGAUUUGAUUUUGACCCAUCUGAUUUUUAUAUGUAUAUAUUUUGAUUUGAUUAAUAUCUUUAUAUAUUAUUUUUAUAUAAUAUUAUUUUAUAUAUAUUAUUAUAUUCAAAUUUUUUUUUUUGGGGUUUUGAGGACCCUAUGCCAUCGAACCGGUCGCACUCUCCCAACGCCGACUCUGAUUCCACUACGCGUUCAUUGUGGGAACAAAAAACUGAGUCUAUGAUGGAUUUUUCGUCUUUUAAAAUCUUUGUCGGGACGAUGGUGCUUGGAAACAAUACAUGAAAAAGAAGGGGAGACAUAAACCAUACCCUUCUAGAAACGAAAACAAGAGAGAUACAAAGAAAAGAGGGGGAGAUAUGAAACCUAACCCCUCUGAAACCAAACCUAAAGGUCUAAACCUACAAAACAAGUUGAGCAACACCACAAAGUUAGGGGAAAAAAAAAAGUAAGACAAACAUGGAUGUCAAGAUGCACAUUAAUUUGAGAAGCGGUAACCAGGCAAGCCAACAUAGUCCAAAAACAAUGCAACACGAGCCGCUGGCGAAAGAGAACCAUGCCAAGUUAAAGUUGGAGAAGACAAGCCCAUGUUAGUAAAAUUGUCCGCAACAAAAUUUCCCUCCCGAUAUAUGUGAGAUGAGUAGAAAGUCAUUUUUUGAAUGCAGUCCAAACAAAUAGACCAUUGUGUACGAAGAGGCCAUGGGGGAUCAAAAUCAGACGAUUGAAGAGCAGAAAUAACACCAGAGCUGUCACUUUUCAUAUGCAAACUCCAUACCAAUAAUAAUUGCAGAUAAUUCUGCAAAAAAAAAAAAAAAAGUUGCGAUAACCAAUCCACUGGCAGAAACCACCAAGAAAAUGACCAUGGCAAUUCCUGAAAACUCCUCCACAAGCAGUAGGACCGGGAUUUCCUUUAGAUAAACCAUCUGUAUUAAGUUUAAUCCAAGGAAACCAAGGAGGAGACCAAAGGACAUGAAUAAUAGUAGGCGCCUUGCGAGAGAUAGGUCAGAUCCCCAUUGUUAGAUGUACAUAUUUAUUUUGAUUUUUUUGGUCUUUUGUUUACUAAUGAGGUGAAGAGAAACUACAUGAAUGAUACGACAAAUGAGUUAUAACUACUUUUAUUUUAUAUUAUGUUUUGUAACAAGUAGGAUAAGUUACAUUAAUUUAUAGAGAGAGGGACUCAAAAAUGGGACUUUGAGUAUAAAGAAGAAUGCUCUUAACCAACUGAGAAUUAAUUAACUAUAGACGACAAGCAAGGCAGAUUGGAAUACGAAUAUCUCAAAAGCUUGGUCAUGGACUCAACAACUUUUAUCGCAUAUCUACACAAACGGACCACCGAUGCCACCAUCAUCCUGAUCGGAUAAGUGAGUGAAGUCCGUCGACUUCGCUGAGACUGACCAUUCUUUCUCCCCAAGAUACGAAAACCUGAUCCGGUAUGAAAUCAGCCAGGUUUCUUAUAUUUUUGGAGAUUCUUACAAUUUAAGGAUUUUGCGUGCGAAGUAAGUACUCACACUUAAAAGAUGAUGCAAUAUCUACUCCUAGAUAUCUUUUGGGAUUCUCCAAGUGUAAUACGGAUUCUGGUAAUCAUGUCAUAUUAAAGUUGGAGAAGACAAGCUCAUGUUAGAAAAAUUGUCCGCAACAACAUUUCCUUCGCUAUAUAUGUGAGAUGCAUAGAAAGUCAUUUUUCGAAUGCAGUCCAAACAAAUAAACCAUUGCAUACAAAGAGGCCAAGGGGGACUUGUGGUCAUUGGUUCCUUAUCUUAGUAUUCAUUUCACAACAACAAAUGAUGAUCACUUGGAUCAUUCAUGAACCGAGAUACUACACUGAUUGUGUAAACUAUAUAUGUCUUGUAUUAGAUAAAUAAAUUAGUGAGCCAACAACACGUCUAUGCAUAGAAGCAUCAACUCUUGGUAAGCAAGAUGGGGUUCCACCAUAAAACCAAUUGGUUUUAUGGUGGAACCUCAACUUUCUAGAUGGUAUGGUUAUCCCACGUGUGAAGCACACCAGCCAUUUGUGAUCCAUAUUACCCUGAUUAUGCGCUUAAAAAUUCGCUAAACUUGGGGGGUGUUGAGAGUAGAAAUCCCUCAUCGGAUUAGGUGGAACCUCAAUUUUCUACUUGGUACCAGAGCAUGUUGUCCAUGUGUGAAGCCCAACGGCCACACGUGCUCUACAUCACUAAAGUUAUGGUAUCCACGUGUUAGGCUUGAAAAAUUCGCCACAAGUAAAGGGGCGUGUUGAGAAUAAAUAUCACAUUGAUGAGAAAAUGGGCUUUAUAUGUACUUAUAAGUAAUUGAACUACUCCCCAUAUUGGCAAUUGGUUAUCACUUGAAGCUUUGAAUUAAUUGCCAUUGAAGCAUCAAUUGGCUUGCAAUUCAACGUAUUGAAUCUUUUCAAGAGGUUUUCUACAUACUUUUCUUGAUACAUAAAAGUCCCUUCAUCCAAUUGUUGGACAUCAAUUCCUAGAAAAUACUUUAUAGUGCCCAAAUUUGUCAUCUCAGAUUCUUUCAUCAUGCCCUUCUUGAAUGCUUCUGCCAUCCUUGUACUUGUAUAAAUUAAGUCAUCAACAUAAAGACAUGCAACAAGAAAUUCACAUGUACCUUCUUUCUUGAGAUAAAGUGAUGGCUCACUUGGACUUCUUACAAAUCCACUUUGACGAAAGUAUUGAUCAAUUUUGCUAUGUCAGGCUCAUGGCCCUUACUUUAAGUCAUACAAUGCUUUCUGAAAUCGACAAACUUUGUCUUCCUUCCUUUUUCACUAUAUCGUUGCAACUGCUCCACAUAAACUUCUUCUUCAAUGUAUGCAUUAAAAAAAAUGAAAACUUGACAUCUUAUUGAAAAACUUGAGUUCUCCAUGUUUAAUGAUGUUUGAAGUUCAACUCCCUUUUUAAUGAUAAAAGAGAAGUAUUAAUUUAUUUAAGGGUAAUGUUAGUGUUCCCCUCAUGGGCGAACCUACUUGUCUACCCACUUACGAUUAAAGAAUGUUACUGUACGAAAAUCAUAACCGAACUGUUCAUUGUCUUGUUAUCAUCUAAAGAUCAUAUAUACAAAAACUUAUUCAAUUUGGAGAUCGUUUAGCCUUUCAUAUGCAUAAAAUAAAUAGAUGGAGGAUGCUACUUGUUACGAAAAUAGUUGACUGGGUUGACACAUAAUGACUAAACUAUCACCAAAUUGAAAGAUCUUAGAUAUAAUCUUUAGAUGAUCAUAAAGAGAAUAAGUUGUUCCGAUUAUGAUGUUCAAACGAUAAAGAUACAUUAAUCAUAAAUAGGAAAACAAGUAGGUUGCCCCAUAAGAGAACAAGUAUUAUCCUUUUAUUUAGUGUCGGUGCAUUUUUUGUCAUGUUACAAAUGGGCUGCAUUGAUAUCCAUUUCAUUUUAGUUUCUACUUGUCAGAAUUUUCAUUGUCAACUUGAAAUUAAAAUAUUUGGAUCAAAACUGAAGAGUAGCGCGAUGGUGAUGGAGACUCGUGGGAGAUGAUGUUGUUACUUUAUUAUCAUUGAAGUAACAACAAUGUCGUCGGCAUAUUUACUUCAAGAUAUUCACUACAAAAAAUAAAUUACACAAAAAUUUGUAUACUUUAUAACAGAGUUAGAUUAAAGGGUAAAUUACAAAAAACUACCUCAAUUAUUGGUGUCACGACACUUUCAUACCUCAUCUUUUAAAGUUGACAAUGUCAUACCUCAUUUUAUGAAUUUGUGCCAAUGUUAUACUUUCCGUUAAUUUGCCGUGAAUUUUUCAAUUAAAUGCUGACGUGGCUUGAUUCGAGGCCAAUUUUCUAUUAAAAAAUUAUUAAAAAUUAAAAAAAAAUCAUUUAAUAUUUUUUUAAAUAUUACAAAAAUAAAUAAAUAAAUAAAUCAACACUCGUCCGCUUCCCCCCAUCUCUCUCUUCUCCCUAUCUCCAUCUUUCUUUCCCCUUCCUACAACUACAACCCAGAAAAAAGAAGAGAAAAACAAAACACCAAUUUGUCUUCCCCCAUCCCCACCCCCUCUUCUCUCCGCACCCACUCUCCGCACCCAACCUCCCCACCUUCGCACCCACUACCUGAAACCCAAAAAAAAAAAAAAAAAAACCCAGAUCCCGUUGAGGUGGAAUUGGGAAACCUUCGGCAGGCCGAUUUUGAAGGUUAAGAACCUGGGUGCAGAGAAAAUGGGAGGAAUGAGUGUGGAGGGAAGAGGGUGGGAGGGUGGGAGGGGGGGACAGACAAACUGGGUUUCCUUUCUUCUUCUUCUUCUUCUUCUUCUUCUUCUUCUUCUUCUUCUUAAGGUUGGGUGGGUGGGAGUGGGGUGGGGGUGGGGUGGAGCAGGCGGACUGGGUGUUCCUUAUUCUGUAGGUUUGGGGUGGGGGUGGGGGUGGGGGUGGGGUGGGGCGGGGCGAACGAACUGGGUGUUUCCUUUUUUCUUUUCUUUCUUCUUCUUCUUCUUUUUCUUCUUCUUCUUCUUCCUCGCUCCUUCUUCUUCCUUUUUCUUCUUCUUUUUGGGUUGCAGGAAGAUGGGGAGAGAUAGGGGGAGGAACGAACUGACCUGAGGUUUUUUUUCCUUUAUUAUUUUAAUAUUUUAAAAAAUAUUAAAUAACUUUUUAAUAAUAAUUUAUUAAUUUAUUAAUAAAAAUGGGUCUGAAUCAAACCACGUCAACAUUUAACUGAAAAAUUCAUGGUCAAUUAACGGAAGGAAUAACAUUGACACAAAUUCGUAAGAUGAGGUAUGAUAUUGUCAACUUUGAAAGAUGAGGUAUGAAAGUGUCGAGACACCAAUAAUUGAGGUAGUUUUUUGUCAUUUACUCUAGAUUAAAUUUAUUUUGGGUACAAAAGUGAGGCAGAUGAAGAAUUGGAUGCAGAAGAUGAGGAAAACUACGAAGAUUUGGUGUUGUAACCAUGACCUGAAGACUCUGCCUGACCUCUUUCCGAAUCAGUAUUGUAAGUCGAUGAGAUUGAAAAUGGUGUCAGAAGAGAUCAGCUGCUUCAAUGACUUUUCCUUCCCCAUAAAGCUCCCAAACCCACUCCACCAUAUUGAUUUUACUCUUUUCCGACUUGGGAUCAAUGGGUUUUCGCCCAUAAGCUAUCUCCAAAGCAACAACUCCAAAGUUGUAGAAAUAUGUUUCCUUGAUAGCCUUUCCUGUGGUAAGACAUUCAGGAGCCAUGUAGCCCAUAAUUCCGGCCAAUAUUGUUGUUUGUGAUUGUUUUCCAUGGUCCACAAGCCGAGCUAACCUGAAAUCCCCAAGUUUGGCGUUGAAAUUUUAGUCUAACAUGAUGUUGCUAGAUUUGAUAUCCCUAUGUAGCACGCAUUGCUCCCAUUCUUCGUGUAGAUAGAACUACCCGGAUGCCAAGCCUUGAGCGAUUCUGUACCUUGCCUCCCAAGGUAACAAGGUUUUCGGUUUGAACAAAUGGGAAUCUAGACUUCCAGUGGACAUGAACUCGUAAACAAGUAUGAGCUCUUUUUUUUUUUGUGGCACCAACCAAUGAGUUGUACUAGAUUCCGAUGCCUAAGUCGACUGAUGAUCCUUACUUCGCCACGUACUCCUUCAUCCCCUAUUUAGACUGACUUGAUACCCUAUUUGUAAAACUUAAGAACUCUCAAGGUUUCACUUUAAUUGCAUGCCCUUUCAAAGAGAGGCUGCAUGUAUUUAUAUUCACGUUUAGAUUACAUCAGGGAUUGAAAUCCCUAUUUACAAGGCUGUUUCAAAUUCAAAAUUACAACAUAAGCUACAAAAUGUAUUACGGAAAACAACUAACAUUCAAAAAGAAGUUUGAACUAAUCUAACUCUUCUUGGAUAAGAGUUUAGGUUGAUCACAACCUCCUGAAUUUUAGGAAACCACCACCAGACUCGGACUUGGUCUAACAGCCCCCCGCAAGCUGACAGGAGGAGAAACAACUGAAAGCUUGGAAACAAGAUGCUUGAACCGUGAAGAGGACAAUCCUUUUGUAAAAAGAUCAGUAAUAUGGUCUUGAGAACAUAUGAAAUUCACAAAUAACUCUUGACGAACCACUUUCUCAUGAACAUAAUGAUAAUCCACCUCCAAGUGCUUUGUACGGGAGUGAAAAACUGGAUUUGAAGCGAGGGCAAUGGAGGAAACAUUGUCAUACCAGAUUGUUGGUCGAUCAAGAUGCAAGUGUAGGUCACGAAAUAAAGAUCGGAACCAUGAUAAUUCUGCAGCAGUACAAGCAAACUGCCUAUAUUCAGCUUCUGAACUCGACCUACUGAUAGUUUUUUGCUUUUUAGAACUCCAAGACACGAGAUUAAACCCUAAGUAAAUGCAAAAACCACCUGUGGAAUGUCGUGUAUUAGGAUUCCCAGCAUAAUCAGCAUCAAAAUACGCUGUAAGGUGUGCAGUACCAGGUUUAUACACGAUGUGUCCAACUAUAAAGGCUUGGGAGCAGGCGUGGUCUUUGUCACCCCAGACGGCUCAAUGCUCGAGCAGGCGAUCACUCUAGGCUUCAAAGCAUCCAACAAUGAAGUAGAGUACGAGGCCCUACUAGCAGGCCUUCGAAUGGCAAAAGACUUUGUGGUGAAAAAGCUCGCAAUUCAUCUUGAUUCUCAACUAGAGCAGUUGAAGUGAAAUUCCAUGAAAUGAUCUUAUGAACAACAAUAUCUUGACCGAUAGCAGCAGAGAACCCAACAAUUACCCAAUAUGACAAGUAUUGUUUCAAAUCAAUUAUGUAAGAAAGAUAUUUGAUCAUCUCCACUUCAGUACCAUUUGUACCAUUUUGAAAACUCGUGAAUGCAACACUCCUUCAGACGCUUUCACAAGCCCUACAAAUUCACUAACUUGCUCUAAAUAAGGGGAAAUUUUAAAUUUUAUUUUUUAAGUUAUUAACUUUUUAACACACAUAUCCCACCAUUUGUAUAGUGACACAUGGUGUAUCAUUAUGUGGGCUGGUAUGUUGUAAUUUGAAGAAUUUUGUAUAUUAAUGAAUUGUAUCUUACACAAGAGACUUGGUUACACUAUAUAGGCAAGGUAGAAGACAUAACCUUCUGACCUCCCAUAACACACGCCUAAAACUGCUUUACAGCUAAGAGAGAUUGCUUGAAUUAAGGACACAAGUAAGAUAUCCCUUGAAUUAAGGACACAAGACAAAUGAUGUACACAGCCAACCUACUUACACUUCUUAGCUGAUAAAAACAGCCAACCUAAUUAAACUUACUUACACUCAUCUUCCAAUACUCCCCCUCAAGUUGGAUCAAAGGGGUUGAUUGAUCCAAGCUUGACCAAAAUAUGCUGAAAACCAGUAGAAGCAAGACUUUUGGUGAAAAUAUCGGCUAACUGAUCAUGGCUUUACGUGUAGUGAGUAUCAAUGAUAUUGGCUUGAACCUGGGUGCAAACAUAGUGACAAUCAACUUCGAUAUGCUUUAUGCGUUCGUGAAACAUAGGGUUGGAUGCAUGUGCAUUACGACUUGAUUGUCACAAAACAUAGACAUGUGUUGAGUAUGAAAGAAACCCAAAUCACCAAGAAGACCUUUAAGCCAAAUUAGUUCACAGGCAAGUGGAUGCCAUGGCACGAUACUCAGCCUCUGCGCUUGAUCGGGCCACAAAACUUUGUUUCUUACUUUUCCAAGUGAUAAGAUUUCCACCAACAAACGUGCAAAAACCUGUAGUUGAUUUAUGAUCAAUAGAGUUGCCUGCCCAAUUCGCAUCCGUGUAGCCUACGAUUGUUGUAUGGUUGUUGUUCUUCAUCAACAUGCCCCUACCAACUGAACCUUUGAGAUAACGAAGAAUGCGAUGUAUAAUCUUUAAGUGAGUUAUAGUUGAGGAAUGCAUGAAUUGACUAACAAGGCUCACAUCAUAUGAGAUGUCAAGUCUUGUAAUGGUAAGAUAAAUGAGCUUGCCAACCAUUCGUUGAUAGUAGCUCAAAUUUGUGAGUGGCUCUCCUUGAAUGUCUAGUUUAAGAUUGGUGUCUAGUAGGGCACGAGCUAGUUUGUAUGCUGACAUUUCAACUUCUUGUAGGAGAUCAAGAAUAUACUUUCGUUGGUUUAAGAAUAAACCUUUGCUAGAACGAGCCAUUUCAAUCCCCAAAAAAUACUUGAGAAUACGAAGAUCUUUGAAAGCAAAUUUGUUGUGAAGAUACUGCUUGAGGGAGUGAAUCUCAAAUAUGUUGUCACUGGUCACAAUAAGAUCAUCGACGUAGAUGAGUACAACAAGUUUUCCAGUGGAAUCAAUUCGAAUGAAGAGAGAUGAAUUAGCAUUGCUCCAUCGAAAACUAACAUUUUCCAGCAUCAAACUGAGUUUGGCAUACCAUGCUCGAGAAGAUUUCUUAAGACCAUAGAUGGACUUAUGUAAUUUGCACACCAUAUCUUUGUCACCUGCUUGUGAGUGGCCUGGUGGAAGUUUCAUAUAAACUUCUUCUUGGAGAUCACGAUACAGGAAGGCAUUCUUGACGUCCAUUUGAAAAAGAGGCCAUGCACAAUUGAUGGCAAUUGAUAAGAGAACUCGGAUAGUGUUCAUUUUUGCUACAGGGGCAAAAGUCUCCUUAUAAUUAACCCCAUAAGUUUGUGUGAAUCCACGAGCAACCAGGUGAGCUUUAUGCCUCUCAAUGGUUCUAUGAGACGGGAACUUAAUUUUGUAUAUCCAUCGACUCCCCACAACCUUCUUUCCCUUAGGAAGUUUGACCACAGUCCAUGUGUGAUUUUUAUGGAGAGCCUGAAGUUCUUCUUCCAUUGCUCUUUUCCAUUCAUCAUGAAUGUUUGCCUCAUCAAAGGUCUGGGGCUUAUGUGCAUUUGUGAUUGCCGUUAAAAAGACAUCAUGGUUAGAUGAAAACUUCUUAUAAUCAAGAACACUUGUCAACAUGUAUUUGGCAUUAUAGGUCACAAAAUCAUGCAAUCUAGGUGGAGGGUCUUUGUCGUGAAGGAUUACGAUGAGCUUGAUUGAUAGGUUGUGGAGUUGGUGCCAUUAUUGAGGGGAUGGUGUCAUUUGGACUGGACGACUGUUCAAGUGCCAAAGAUAUUUUCUGCUCAUCAAAUUCCUCCCAAACAAUGGGAGUUGGCUUGGAAGAGGCUCUAAGACAUCAUGCUCAAUAAUGCCCAAGUGAGGCAUGGGAAAAAGAUCCAUCAAGUGCUCCCUUUGACUAGAAUACUUAGUUGGACAAGCAAAGUAGGGCAUGUUUUCCUCAAACUUUACAUUGCUUGAGAUCAUCAUUUUUGUUGUUGUUGGAUUGUAACAUCUAUAACCCUUUUAAGUGGAUGGAUAACCCAAAAACACAUACUUUGUAGCCUUUGGAUCCAACUUAUCUUGAUGGGGUGUUUGAACAUGAACAAAACAUGUGCAUCCAAAUACUCUCAAGUGUGGUAGAUUUAGAGAUUUUCCUUUCAAAACUUCAUGAGGUGAUUUGAAAUUCAAAACUCUACUUGGUAACCUAUUAAUGAGAUAGGUUGCAGUAAACACUCAUUGGGACCAAAACUUCUUUGGCACAUUCAAGUGAAACAUUAGAGCCCUAGUUUUCUCAAGAAGGUCCCUAUUUUUUCUUUUGGCAAUCCCAUUUUGUUGGGGUGUUCCAACACAACUUGUUUGAUGUAGUAUACCUUGUGUGCUCAUAUAGUGUGACAUCUUAUUAGACAUAUAUUCAAUGUCAUUAUCUGAUCUUAAGAUAUGAAUUUUUGACGAAAAUUGAGUAGUGACAAGUUUGUGAAAAUCUUGGAAAACAUCCAUAACUUCACUCUUAAAUUUCAAAAGGUAUAACCAAGUGAUCCUUGUGAAAUCAUCCACAAAGGUUACAAAAUAUUUGUAUCCAUCAAAGGACUCUAAAACUAGCCCCUAAAUAUUAGAAUGCACGAUUUUAAAAGGAUUACUAGCUCUAGACAUUGAAGAAGAAAAUGGUAACCUAGCAAACUUAGACAAGUGACAAACAUCACAUUGGUUUACAUUUUUGCAUAGGUUUGGAAACAAUGAGGUCAAGACCUUCUCAGAGGGGUGUGCUAAUCGUUGGUGCCACAAAAUUUGUUCUUGAGCUUGGUUUGUACUAACUUGAAAAGCUUUGGGUACUUGGAUUUCCCUGGACACAUAAUAGAGACCAUUUAAAUAAAAACCUUCACCAAUCUUCUUCUUGGUGACUAAAUCCUGAGACAAGACAUUGCAUGGAGAAAAAAUGGCAAGACAUUUGAGUGAGUUUAUGAGUUAGCCAACAGAUAAAAGCUGGAAAGGAAAUGACGGAACAUAAAGAACAUUUGACUCAACAUUGUUGGAUAUCAAGUUUAUUUUCCCUUUUCCUAGAACUGAAGCCCCUUUGCCAUUGGUAACUGACACAUGAGAAGGUGCGGAGAUUGUUUCAAAAUUAUGUCGGUUGUAACCUUAUUUGUCAUGUGAUCAGAAGCACCUGAAUCUAUAAUCCAAUAAUCAUGUGCACUACUAACUGAGAGAGCAGUUGAAAAAGAUUUCAGAAUACUUGGGAUAUCUUUGGAAGCAAUGCUCUUAUUUUCAGCUAGAAACCCUGCAAAAUGCCCAAGUAGAGCUGUCUGAUUUGAGGAACCUUCUUCACAUUCUCUGACCCCUUGUUUCUUGUGAAGGAAAACUGUAAACUCAUUGAUUAGAGUUACAAGAUUAGUAGUGAAUUUGGACAUCUCAUCAGAGGGGGCUGAAGCUACGAGAUCAGAAGCUGCGAGAUUAGCUUUGUGAGGCAAGCCAUACGUAGCCUUCAAGGGAGCCUUGUGAUCUCUCAAGAAUUUAGGCUUUAAUUCUGGAUGAAGAAUCUAGCACCUAUCCCUUGAGUGAUGACCAUUAUUACAAUAGUUGCACUUCAAAUCCCCUUCCUUUCCUUUGUAACUUCUUUCCUCAAUAGGCUUAUAAUUUGAAGCAUAAGCCCUAUUUUCAGGUAGGUUAGUUUUUACCUCCAUGUUCAUCAUCUUUCUACGAACUUCCUCCAUUUGAAUAGUAGCACAGAUGCUUGAAAAAGAAGGAAGGUUAACGUUCAUGAGAAUGUGGCUUCGAAGAUCCUUAAAGUAUGAACUUAAGCUUGCCAAUAGUUGGAAUAUUUUGUCUUCCUCAGCAGCACUUUAGUGUCGGUGGUGUGAGGGUGAUAAACAUUGAGUUCAUUCCACAUCGUUGUCAAUAUUCCAAGGUGUUGUACAAAUGAUUUCCCUUUCUGUUGCAACCCAGCAAUGUCUUUCUUAAGUUGAAAAACUCGAGCAACAUUAUUCUGGUUUCCAUACAUCUCUUUAAGAUUUUUCCAAAGAUGCAUGGAAGAUUUGGCAUAGCUGAAGAUCUCAGCAAUCUUUCGUUCCAUAGAGUUAAGAAACCAUGACAUAACAAGCUGAUCUUUGCAAAGCCAUGUGUCAUACUUUGGUGACUCGAUUUUAGGAAUAGGAAGGGCUCUAUUGACAUAGCCGAGUUUCGAUCGUCCUCCCAAAGCAAGUGUCACAGCUCUUUCCCAUGGAAGAUAAUUAAAUUCAUUUAAUAAUACUGAACUUAGACGUUGGUUUGGGUUUACAUCAACGUCGGACAAGAUGGAAGACGGAGAAGCAUGAGAGGUUUCUGCCUCUAGAUUAACUGAGCUCUUUCAGCCAUUCUAGAAGGUUGAGAAGGAGUUUAACACACAAGGAUAUACAGAGACAGGUCUGUUAGGGUUACUGCUCUGAUACCAUGUUGUAAUUUGAAGGUUUUUGUAUAUUAAUGAAUUGUAUCUUACACAAGAGACUUGGUUACACUAUAUAGGCAAGGUAGAAGACAUAACCUUCUGACCUCCCAUAACACACGCCUAAAAUUGCUUUACAGUUAAGAGAGAUCCCUUGAAUUAAGGACACAAGUUAGAUAUCCCUUGAAUUAAGGACACAAGACAGAUGAUUUACACAGCCAACCUACUUACACUUCUUAGCUGAUGAAAACAACUAACCUACUUAAACCUACUUACACUCAUCUUCCAAUACAGUCACAUUGAAAAAUCAAUUUUUUUAUUGUGACGGGAACACUAUGGUACAUCACAUGUUUUUAUAUAAGUUGUAGGAAAUUUUAUUUUUUAAGUUAUUAACUUUUUAACAAACAUAUCCCACAAUUUGUAUAGUAACACGUGGUGUAUCACUCUGUAUGUCUGUCACAAAAAAAUAAAUUGAAUCUAUGAUGGAUUUUUCGUCUUUCAAAAUCUUCGUCGGGAAAGGAUUGACGAUGGUGCUUGAAAUUGUUGGGAAUUGUUCCUGAUGUGAGAGUUGGGACUUUUCAAUUGUUUUUUUUUUCUUGUCGAUGGGAAUUUUCAAUUGUUAGAUGUACAUAUUUAUUUUUAUUUUUUUGAUCUUUUGUUUUCUAAAGAGGUGAAAAGAAACUAUAUGAAUGAUACGAGAAAUGAGUUAUAACUAGUUUUAUUUUAUAUUAUUUUUUGCAACAGGUAGGAUAAGUUACAUUAAUUUACAGAGGGAGGGACUCAAAAACGGGACUUCGAGUAUAAGUAACAUUUUUAUUGUUCAGCUGGGUUUGACAAUAGGCAAGGUCAUGGGUUGAAGCUUGUAAUCGCUGCAAUUAGUUUAUUAAUUGUCGCUUUUGUCUCUACUGAUUGCUUGUACAACACUUUUUUUUUUUUUUUUUUUUUAAAGAAUGCAAAAUGUUUGUUUAUCUCAAUGGAGAUUGGUCAUUGUCGGCCUAUAUCAAUAAACUGCAAAAGAGAAGGAUAAAAAUCAGAUUAGAUUCGCAACAAAGAUGCAAUUGCAAAGGUAGAUAAGAAUCUUGGUAGUCCAUCAAACUAAAGGCAGGCAGUUUGGUAUUUUUUUUUAUUUAUUUUUUGUACCGUGAUAGGUUUUUAGCAAACAACCUUUAGGCCAAAAUCAUGAAGAAAAAUGUACAACCACUGCAGAACCAAAUGCAAUCUCGUAUGAGAUAUGAUUUUGGAUAUAAUAACCAAGUUGCCAUUACUUUUUAAGUUUCAGUGGAUGAAUUGCAUUCAUUAUUGAUUUUGAAUACAAUCCUAGGAAGUUUUGUUGAGAGGAACCUUGGAGAGAGCUCGUUUAGGUUAAAAUUAUUUGUGACUAUUGGAGAUUAAAAGUAAUGGCUGGAUUAAUAACUUGGCUAUUACACAGAACACCUAAUCUUAUAGGAUUUUGCAUUUGUUGAAAGAAGUAAGAUAAAGCAAAAGGAAACUAACAUGAAAUGGGUUUUCCUGCAAAAGAAAACUAACAUGAAGAGGACUUUCCUGUCCUCCUCCUUUUUUCUUUAUUCCUGCAUUUUGAAUAUCUGAAAAAUCAAUCAUAAUUGUGUGGAUAUUAAAGGAAAGAGAGAAUACUGAAUAAACCAAAAAUGUAAACGGCGCGCAUAAAAAAUGGCUCCGAUGUUGAUUUCGGUGAAGAUCAUGAGGGAAUCCAUAGGAUCGAGGCCAGUUGUCCUGAGGUACGUUUGUACUACUUUAUCCCUUUCUAUCUCUCUUCUGUGAAUUUCUUGAAAACGGCGUACGUAAAAUAUGGUUUCAAUUUUCUGCAGGAGGAGACAAAAACGUAGGAAAAUAAUCAGACAAACUUACUCAGAAGAAAAAUGAUGAAUCAAAACGUCAAUAGAGAUGCAGAAGGGAUAAACAGAAGGAAGAGGAGGAGGGGUAGAAGCUUUGCGGAAGGGAUAACCAUAGUAUCGAACUUAGAGACAUUUCGCAAAUUACUUGUCAACUAAAAAGUAGAGCGAUCAUCUUUUCUUGUAAACCAAGAAACGAGUGUUUUUACAACACAGUCAUUGUUUUCAUCGAACAACAACAACAACAACAACAACAAAGCCUUUUCCCACUAAGUGGGGUCGGCUAUAUGAAUCCUAGAACGCCAUUGCGCUCGGUUUUGUGUCAUGUCCUCCGUUAGAUCCAAGUACUCUAAGUCUUUUCUUAGGGUCUCUUCCAAAGUUUUCCUAAGUCUUCCUCUACCCCUUUGGCCCUGAACCUCUGUCCCGUAGUCACAUCUUCAAACCGGAGCGUCAAUAUGCCUUCUUUGCACAUGUCCAAACCACCGGAACCGAUUUUCUCUCAUCUUUCCUUCAAUUUCGGCUACUCCUACUUUACCUCGGAUAUCCUCAUUCCCAAUCUUAUCCUUUCUCGUGUGCCCACACAUCCCAUGAAGCAUCCUCAUCUCUGCUACACCCAUUUUGUGUACGUGUUGAUACUUCACCACCCAACAUUCUAUGCCAUACAACAUCGCUAGCCUUAUUGCCGUCCUAUAAAAUUUUCCCUUGAGCUUCAGUGGCCUACGACGGUCACACAACACGCCGGAUGCACUCUUACACUCCAUCCAUCCAGCUUGUAUUCUAUGGUUGAGAUCUCCAUCUAAUUCUCCAUUCUCUUGCAAGAUAGAUCCUAGGUAGCGAAAACGGUCGCUUUUUGUGAUCUUCGCUAGAUUGCUUCGGUCAUUAGUGUGGAUAAGUAUAUAAAUGGAUAGAGAUAGGAAAGCAAACACAAGAUGUACGUGGUUCACCCAGAUUGGCUACGUCCACGGAAUAGAGGAGUUCUCAUUAAUUGUGAAGGGUUUACACAAGUACAUAGGUUCAAGCUCUCCUUUAGUGAGUACAAGUGAAUGAUUUAGUACAAAUGACAUUAGGAAAUAUUGUGGGAGAAUGAUCUCAUAAUCACGAAACUUCUAAGUACCGAAGUGUGGUAUCGUCUUGACUUGCCUUAUCUGUCUCAUAGGUAGAUGUGACAUCUUCUCUGGAAGUACUCUUCCUCCAUCCAAGGGUGGUAUCUUUAACUGGUGAAGAUGCACAAGGUAAUAUAUCAAUUUCACUUGAAGCUUACUUGUAGUAUCAGGCUUGGUCAAGCGCGAUACAAACCAUGUAGUAGGAGUCCCCCAAGUCGCCAAGCUAGGGGAUUUGCUGAAAGAGGUGAAGGUAAGCAAUCAGAGCUCCGGCUGAUUGUUCACAUUCUCCCUAUCUUGCAGGCAGCAUGAAGGAUAAAGAGAAGAAAAAUGAGAAGAGAUGAUAUGGGAUACUUUUGCUUUUGAAGAAGUAACUUUCCACAGGCUUAUUCUUGAACUGGGCUGGAGGGUUUUCUGGUUUCCUCCAGAGUAUAAGGCCGACUGAAGAAUUUGAGGGUCAAAACAAGUCCAUCAAAUCUAGAGUACGUUCGACCCUGCUGAUAUGGGAUACUUUUGCUUUUGACAGAGUAGUGGAUGUAUCGGCACGUGUGCUGUUGCGCUUGUCUCCACCUGCUUCCUUGUAUCCUUCUCACUUGCCCUAUCUGUUCCUCAAGCAGAUGCGGUAUCUUCCCUGGAAGCAUAAGAUGUUGAAGAUGAGUACUCGAGAGCAAUGCCAGGUAAGUAAUCAGGUAAGGGGUUCCAUGCAGUCAGUUCCUGGCUGGAAGCUUGAUUCCAAGUGCUGACUGAUUGCUCUCUUUCUCCUUGUCUUACGGGUAAGAACAAAUGCAAAGGAAAAGACAGGGAAAAAGCAUGAUAUGGGAUACUCUUGCUUUUAACCCUGAUGAUAUGAGAUAUUCUUGCUCUAGUAUAGCUUGUUUGCAGAGGUAUUAUCGGGGGGAAAGAAAGCUGAAUAUUUCAAAAGGCUUCAUUGGGAGUGCCCUCUCAGAUAUGAGGAAGGGUUGAGCAUUUUGGUAGGUCUGCCUGUCCGUUGGGGAUGGAGGUCGACAUAUAUAAGAGUCUCCCUAACAACAAGUAGUAAUGUUAUUCCUUUACCCUGCUUGGUCAUAGCACGGUAGUGGGAGCUGCCAGCUUCACAUGUUUUAACUCUGUCAGAGCACUUUGAAAAAGUGGUCUGUGGUAUCUGGAAAGCUGAUGUUGCGUGUGAAGAUUACAGACAAGCUUUAUCCAAGGAGAUCCGGCUCUUGAAGUUGGGAAAGUGGUGCCUCUUCGGUUUUCGAACAAGCAAUCUUGUCGGGGAUCUGGCUCUCGAGAUUCGGAGAACGAUGCCUCUUCGAUUUUUGAGAAAGCAAUCCUGCUGGGGGUCUGGCUUUCGAGAUUCGGAGAGCGGUGUCUCUUCGAUUUUUGAGAAAGUAAUCAUGUUGGGAGUCUGGCUCUCGAGAUUCGGAGGGCGGUGCCUCUUCGAUUUUGGAGCAAGCAAUCUUGUUGGGAGUGUUUUCUCGAAUGUGAGUAAAGGUUGGGCAUGUUUGCUAGUCUACCUUGCCACGAAGCACAGAGGUUGACACACAGGGACUUUCCAAUUAUCCAGCAGUGGUACUGUUCCUUUACCCUCUCUUCGAUUUUUGAGAAAGUAAUCAUGUUGGAAGUCUGGCUCUCGAGAUUCGGAGGGCGGUGCCUCUUCAAUUUUGGAGCAAGCAAUCUUGUUGUGAGUGUUUUCUCUAAUGUGAGUAAAGGUUGGGCAUGUUUGCUAGUCUACCUUGCCACGAAGCACAGAGGUUGACACACAGGGACUUUCCAAUUAUCCAGCAGUGGUACUGUUCCUUUACCCUUGUGGGUAAUAAUAUGGUAGCUAGACCUUCAAAAUUUAUGUGUCUAAACUUUGUUAGUGCUGUUUCUUUGCUAUUCUUUUACCCUUCUUGGUCAGAGCGAUGUAGUGGGAGUUGCAAGCUUCACGUGUCUCAACUUUGUCAGAGAACUUUGGCAAAGUUAUCUGUGGUACCCAUGAGCUACUGUUGCGUGUGGGAAGUGGGGUGAUUGAACAGUAAGAUUCAUGUGCUUUCUACUUCACCAGAAAUCUUCGACAGAAUGCCCAUAAUUUCCGCAAAGCUGAGUGUGCGUGUGACAGGUGCUGACAAGGCUGGAAAAGUAGGUGCUUCUUCGAUUUCUGAUAUCGGCCCUCGUGGUCUCUGAGCAGCCCAGCUUUUGAGAAAGCAAGCGCCUCUUCGAUUUCUGAGAUCAGCCUUCGUGGUCUUUGAGCAGCCCAGCUUUUGAGAAAGCAAACGCCUCUUCGAUUUCUGAGGUCGACCCUCGUGGUCUCUGAAUAACCCAGCUUUUGAGAAAGCAAAUGCCUCUUCGAUUUCUGAGCAGGCGCCUCUUCGAUUUCUGAAGCUCCGUCGAGUGCAGAUUUUUAUAGGGGCUGUCAUUAAGUUCCAAAGCACACUUGAAUCUCCACCAGUAGAAGCUCCAUUCUUGCACUUCUAAGAUCUUGAUUUGUCCGACCUCUUCUUUCUUCAACACCAUUGAAAAUGUCUGGCCCCUCCGACCGUCGUUUUGACUUGAACCUUGUUGAAGAGGCAGCCCUGCCUUCUCCAGACAACAUAUGGCGCCCAUUCUUCAUCUCCCCUAGUGGUCUUCUUACCGUUGGGGAUUCCGUGAUGAAGAAUGAUAUGACCGCUGCGGUGGUGGCCAGGAACCUUCUCACUCCCAAAGAUAACAGACUACUUUCCAAACGGUCUGAUGAGUUGGCUGUUAAGGAUUCUCUGGCUCUCAGUGUUCAGUGUGCAGGUUCUGUGUCUAAUAUGGCCCAACGCCUAUUUGCUCGAACCCGCCAAGUUGAAUCAUUGGCGGCUGAAGUGAUGAGUCUCAAACAGGAGAUUAGAGGGCUCAAGCAUGAGAAUAAACAGUUGCACCGGCUCGCACAUGACUAUGCUACAAACAUAAAGAGGAAGCUUGACCAGAUGAAGGAAUCUGAUGGUCAGGUUUUACUUGAUCAUCAGAGAUUUGUGGGUUUGUUCCAAAGGCAUUUAUUGCCUUCGUCUUCUGGGGCUGUACCGUGUAAUGAAGCUCCAAAUGAUCAACCUCUGAUGCCUCCUCCUUCUAGGGUUCUGUCCAGUACUGAGGCUCCGAAUGAUCCCCCUCCGGUGCCUUCUUUUUCUGGGGCUCUACCGACUGCUGAGACUUCUCCUAAGCAACCUUUGUGAAGGCUCCCUCUUGUUUGUUUAUUUUGACUCAUGUAUAUGUACAUAUUUGUAACUUAUCGGGGAUAUCAAUAAAUAAGCUUUCCUUCAUUUCAACGUAUUGUGUUAAAUACACCAAAACCUUUUUCGCUAAGUUAUUUGAAUUUUCUUUUGUUGAAGCUUGUAUGUUGAAGCUUUGUGAGUGGAGCAUGUAGGUUGAGGGAGUGUUCCCUUAAUUUCCCGAGUGAGGAAAACUUCUCGGUUGGAGACUUGGAAAAUCUAAGUCACUUAGUGGGAUCGGCUAUAUGAAUCUUAGAAUGCCAUUGUGCUCGGUCCUGUGUCAUGUCCUCCGUUAGAUCCAAGUACUCUAAGUCUUUUCUUAGAGUCUCUUCCAAAGUUUUCCUAGGUCUUCCUCUACCCCUUCGGCCCUGAACCUCUGUCCCGUAGUUACAUCUUCAAACCGGAGCGUCAGUAGGCCUUCUUUGCACAUGUCCAAACCACCGUAACCGAUUUUCUCUCAUCUUUCCUUCAAUUUCGGCUACUCCUACUUUACCCCGGAUAUCCUCAUUCCUAAUCUUAUCAUUUCUCGUGUGCCCACACAUCCAACGAAGCAUCCUCAUCUCCGCUACACCCAUUUUGUGUACGUGUUGAUGCUUCACCGCCCAACAUUCUGUGCCAUACAGCAUCGCCGACCUUAUUGUCGUCCUAUAAAAUUUUCCCUUGAGCUUCAGUAGCAUACGGCGGUCACACAACACGCCGGAUGCACUCUUCCACUUCAUCCAUCUAGCUUGUAUUCUAUGGUUGAGAUCUCCAUCUAAUUCUCCGUUCUUUUGCAAGAUAGAUCCUAGGUAACGAAAACGGUCGCUCUUUGUUAUUUCUUGAUCUCCGAUCCUCACCCCUAACUCGUUUUGGCCUCUAUUUGCACUGAACUUGCACUCCAUAUAUUCUAUCUUUGAUCGGCUUAGGCGAAGACUUUUAGAUUCCAACACUUCCCUCCAAAGGUUAAGCUUUGCAUUUACCCCUUCCUGAGUUUCAUCUAUCAACACUAUAUCGUCUGCGAAAAGCAUACACCAAGGAAUAUCAUCUUGAAUAUGUCCUGUUAACUCAUCCAUUACCAACGGAAAAAGGUAAGGACUUAAGGAUGAGCCUUGAUGUAAUCCUACAGUUAUGGGAAAGCUUUCGGUUUGUCCUUCAUGAGUUCUUACGGCAUUCUUUGCUCCUUCAUACAUAUCUUUUAUAGCUUGGAUAUAUGCUACUCGUACUCCUUUCUUCUCUAAAAUCCUCCAAAGAAGUCUCUUGGGACCCUAUCAUACGCUUUUUCCAAAUCUAUAAAGACCAUGUGUAAAUCAUUUUUCCCAUCUCUAUAUCUUUCCAUCAAUCUUCGUAAGAGAUAGAUUGCCUCCAUGGUUGAGCGCCCUGGCAUGAACCCAAAUUGGUUGUCCAAAACCCCUGUCUCUUGCCUCAAUCUAUGCUCAAUGACUCUCUCCCAGAGCUUCAUUGUAUGACUCAUUAGCUUAAUACCCCUAUAGUUCAUGCAAUUUUGUACGUCGCCCUUAUUCUUGUAGAUAGGCAUCAAAGUGCUCAUUCGCCACUCAUUUGGCAUAUUCUUCGUUUUCAAAAUCCUAUUGAAAAGGUCAGUGAGCCAUGUUAUACCUGUCUCUCCCAAAACUUUCCACACUUCGAUUGGUAUAUUGUCUAGGCCUACUGCUUUUCUCUGCUUCAUCUUCUUCAAAGCUACAACCACUUCUUCCUUCUGGAUUCGACGAUAAAAAGAGUAGUUUCUACACUCUUUUGAGUUACUCAACUCCCCUAAAGAAGCAUUCAUUUCAUGUCCUUCAUUGAAAAGAUUAUGAAAAUAACCUCUCCAUCUGUCUUUAACCGCGUUCUCUGUAGCAAGAACCUUUCCAUCCUCAUCAUUGAUGCACCUCACUUGGUUUAGGUCUCUUGUCUUCUUUUCCCUUGCUCUAUCUAGUUUAUAGAUAUCCAACUCUCCUUCUUUGAUAUCUAGUCGCUUAUACAUAUCGUCAUAAGCCGCUAACUUAGCUUCUCUCACAGCUUUCUUCGCCUCUUGCUUCGCUUUUCUAUACCUUUCACCAUUUUCAUCGGUCCUAUCCUUGUAUAAGGCUUUACAACAUUCCUUCUUAGCCUUCACCUUUGUUUGUACCUCCUCAUUCCACCACCAAGAUUCCUUUUGGUGUAGGGCAAAGCCCUUGGACUCUCCUAAUACCUCUUUUGCUACUUUUCGGAUACAACUAGCCAUGGAAUCCCACAUUUGGCUAGCUUCCCCCUCUCUAUCCCACACACACUGGGUGAUUACUUUCUCUUUGAAAAUGGCUUGUUUUUCUUCUUUUAGAUUCCACCAUCUAGUCCUUGGGCACUUCCAAGUCUUGUUCUUUUUUCUCACUAUUUUGAUAUGUACAUCCAUCACCAACAAGCGAUGUUGAUUAGCCACGCUCUCUCCUGGUAUAACUUUGCAAUCCUUACAAGUUAUACGAUCCCCUUUCCUCAUUAGAAGAAAAUCUAUUUGUGUUUUUGACGACCCACUCUUGUAGGUGAUCACAUGUUCUUCUCUCUUAUUAAAGAAUGUGUUGGCUAAGAAGAGAUCAUAUGCCAUUGUAAAAUCCAAGAUAGCUUCCCCAUCCUCGUUUCUCUCCCCAAAACCAUGGCCACCAUGAAAACCUCCAUAGUUGCCUGUCUCCCUGCCCACGUGUCCAUUUAAAUCUCCUCCUAUAAAUAACUUCUCCGUCUGAGCAAUUCCUUGCACCAAGUUUCCAAGGUCUUCCCAAAAUUUCUCCUUCGAACUCGUAUCCAACCCUACUUGAGGUGCAUACGCACUAAUCACAUUGAUAAGUUCUUGUCCUAUUACAAUCUUGAUUGCUAUGAUUCUAUCUCCUACCCUCUUGACAUCUACAACAUCUUGUGUCAAGGUCUGGUCCACGAUGAUGCCAACACAGUUUCUCGUUCUAUUUGUGCCCGAAUACCAAAGUUUAAACCCUGAGUUUUCUAGAUCCUUUGCCUUACGACCAACCCACUUAGUUUCUUGUAGGCACAUAAUAUUUAUCCUUCUCCUCACCAUAACUUCCACUACUUCCAUAGAUUUUCCCGUUAAGGUUCCUAUAUUCCACGUUCCUAAAUGCAUUUUGCUCUCUUGAACUCUACCCUUCUGUCCUAGCUUCUUCACCAUCCCCCAUCUAAUAGGAUCAAAGUACUUCUUUUGUGUGUCCCGUGUAAAGUUGAUAGGAGCAUAUGCUCCCAAACAACUUUGAGUGGAGUCGUUCGAAAAGAAGUUUCUAUGGCCUCCUUGCUCAUUUAACACUGCAUCCGGGUGCCGAUGGAGAUACAGCGACCCUUGCUCACUUAUCACUGUGCUCGGGCCACACAGCGCGCCACUUACGGGUGACGCCCUAGCUUUAACGCGAUUUCAUUCUGGAUUCAUUUUCAUAAGGAUUCGACGUAAUCAUGGAGUGCCGGCUGUCGACUACCUGACGCCCUCCCCCUCCUCCUUUAUCCGGGCUUGGGACCGGCAAUGUAAGAUAAACUUACAUAGGCGGAGUUAUUGUUUUCAUCGAACACAAGUAGAAAAUAUCCUUGGACUAUCUGAUCAAUAGUUCUGUUUCAUUCCAAAACUACACAAAUAAUGAACUUUGUUGUGUUUUAUUUUGCAUUGUUUACACUUUACAAGUAUCCUUUUUUCGAUUCACUGUCUUGUUGAAACUACAAUAGUAUCUAGAUUCAAGAGUGCAUAAUAUAUUUAUCUAUAUGUGUUCGGGUUUGUUUGAUGUGAAAACUGAAGGAAUGAAUGGACGGCAGCUGAACACUGAAGGAACGAAUGUUUGGCAGCUGAUUUUUUGUUUACGUUUUGUUGUCCGAAUGCAUAGACAUUGAGAAGACAUGGAUGUCGUCGUUUGAACUUAGUGGUCAUAUUUGAGUAUUGGGUUUUUCUUUUGACACUCUUUCUCUGUGCAUUUUGGCAUGUAAGUUUCUGAAUGCCCUGGUAGAAAGAGCCUCUCUUUCACUUACUGCUUUCCCAGUUCAAACCCUCUUGCAAUCUCUUGUUAUAAAUUUAUGAGUAUAACAUAUAAUUACGACAUGAUGGUAAGUUCAUCAUCAUCAAAGUAAUAACUAUAUAUGUCGUCGAACAUAUUUACUUAAAGAUAUUCACUAUAAAAAAAUGUAUUACACGCAAAUUUAUAUAUUCAUAUAACAGAGUGAGAUUGAAUUUACCUUGUAUACAAAAGUGAGGCUGAUGGAGACGAAUUGGAUGCAGAAGAUGAGGUGAAUUGUGAGGAGUUGGUGUUUUAACCAUGACCCGAAGACUCUAUCUAAUGUCUUUCCAAAUCAGUAUUGUAACUCGACGAGGUUGAAAAUGAUACCGGAAGAGAUAAGUAGCUGGCCACCAGCAUCUUUGAUGGGAUAAUGGGGAACGAAACUUUGAAGUUAAGUACUUGAAUUGUUUGUUGUAUCGAAGGCCUCAUCAUGUAAUCCGGAUGAGCACACCACAGCCCAACAAUCAACAAACACUCCAUCUGUUUCACAUCGAACUCUCCACACAAUUUAGGGUCAGCUGCUUCAAUGAUUUUCCCUUCUCCAUAAAGCUCCCAAACCUACUCCACCAUGUUAAUUUGAGUCCUUCCAAACUUUGGAUCAAUGGGUUUCCUCCCGCAAGCUAUCUCCAAAGCAACAACUCCGAAGCUGUAGACAUCUGUUUGUUUGCUUGCCUUUCCUGUGGUAACGCAUUCUGGAGUCAUGUAUCCCAUGGUUCCAGCUAGAACUGUUGUUUGCGAUUGUUUGCCAUGAUCCACAAGUCGAGCUAAUCCGAAAUCCCCAAGUUUGGCGUUGAAAUUUGAAUCCAGCAUAAUAUUGCUCGAUUUAAUAUUCCUGUGCAACACACAUUGUUCCCAUUCUUCGUGUAGAUAGAACCCAUUCUUCGUGUAGAUAGAACCACCCGGAUACCAAGCCUUGAGCAAUUCUGUAUCUUGCCUCCCAAUGUAACAAGGUUUUCGGUUUGAACAAAUGGGAAUCUAAGCUUCCGUUGGACAUGAACUCGUAAACAAGCAAGAGCUCUCCUUUU
rnacentral:lncRNA from 1 species